GAAGAUAUAUAUGUAAUCACAAUAAACUGUUACAACACUAAACGCAAAUGCUAAACAAUCAAGCUGCAGACAAACAUGUGUUGAUAUGAACAAGGGAGGUAACUAUGAAGCUACUGACCACACCUGAAGCCAGUGCAUUGUCUCUGAUGUUACAAAGGUCAAAACCUUUUUUCGGACGUCUCAUGUUUGUUUCCUGAUUAGAUUAAUGGGCGAUUCUGCUGUUU